rnacentral:lncRNA from 1 species
CCCCACAUAGAGAAAGUCUAUGGGAAAGUUACAAUAUGAAUCUUGUCUCCAUAAAUUUGGCACUUAUGUAUUUCUUGGUAUAACUGAUGCAAUCUCCUUCCAUGGUGGACCAGCAAUACCCAUAUCUCAUGAUUUACUUGGCCAUUGCAAAAUCAAUGCAUGUGUUCCUCAAACACCCUUAUAGACAUUUUAUAAUAUGUUCUUAGCCUUAACAGUGUCCACACGUCUUAAUAACUCAAGCAUAUCUUAAUCAUACGAAAA